GACGAACGCUGGCGGCGCGCUUAACACAUGCAAGUCGAACGGAAAGGCCUGCUUUCCCUUGUGGAUUGCGGGUACUCGAGUGGCGAACGGGUGAGUAACACGUGAGUGAUCUGCCCCCAACUUGGGUAUAAGCCUGGGAAACUGGGUCUAAUUCCCGAUAGGACUGCAGGGUGGUGCCUGUGGUGGAAAACGAUUUUCUAGUGGUUGGGGAUGAGCUCGCGGCCUAUCAGCUUGUUGGUGGGGUAAUGGCCUACCAAGGCGGCGACGGGUAGCCGGCCUGAGAGGGUGGACGGCCACAUUGGGACUGAGAUACGGCCCAGACUCCUACGGGAGGCAGCAGUGGGGAAUAUUGCACAAUGGGCGGAAGCCUGAUGCAGCGACGGCGCGUGGGGGAUGACGGCCUUCGGGUUGUAAACUCCUUUCGACCGCGAGGAAGCCACCUGGUUGGAAGGGUGGUGACGGUAGUGGUAGAAGAAGCACCGGCUAACUACGUG
rnacentral:rRNA from 1 species